GACCUAGAGACCGGCGCACGGGUGCGUAACGCGUAUGCAAUCUACCUUUCACAAAGGGAUAGCCCAGAGAAAUUUGGAUUAAUACCUUAUAGUAAUACGACUUGGCAUCAAGAUGUAUUUAAAGAUUUAUCGGUGAAAGAUGAGCAUGCGUCCCAUUAGCUUGUUGGUAAGGUAACGGCUUACCAAGGCAACGAUGGGUAGGGGUCCUGAGAGGGAGAUCCCCCACACUGGUACUGAGACACGGACCAGACUCCUACGGGAGGCAGCAGUGAGGAAUAUUGGACAAUGGGCGCAAGCCUGAUCCAGCCAUGCCGCGUGCAGGAUGACGGUCCUAUGGAUUGUAAACUGCUUUUGUACAGGAAGAAACCCUUUCACGUGUGGAAGAUUGACGGUACUGUAAGAAUAAGGAUCGGCUAACUCCGUGCCAGCAGCCGCGGUAAUACGGAGGAUCCAAGCGUUAUCCGGAAUCAUUGGGUUUAAAGGGUCCGUAGGCGGUCAAGUAAGUCAGUGGUGAAAGCCCAUCGCUCAACGGUGGAACGGCCAUUGAUACUGCUUGACUUGAAUUAUUAGGAAGUAACUAGAAUAUGUAGUGUAGCGGUGAAAUGCUUAGAGAUUACAUGGAAUACCAAUUGCGAAGGCAGGUUACUACUAAUGGAUUGACGCUGAUGGACGAAAGCGUGGGUAGCGAACAGGAUUAGAUACCCUGGUAGUCCACGCCGUAAACGAUGGAUACUAGCUGUUGGGAGCAAUCUCAGUGGCUAAGCGAAAGUGAUAAGUAUCCCACCUGGGGAGUACGUUC
rnacentral:rRNA from 1 species